CCACUUGCGGAUGGGCCCGCGGCGCAUUAGCUGGUUGGUGAGGUAACGGCUCACCAAGGCGACGAUGCGUAGCCGACCUGAGAGGGUGAUCGGCCACACUGGGACUGAGACACGGCCCAG
rnacentral:rRNA from 1 species